CUGCUCGGCCGCCGUAGUCGGAGCCGGUUCUUCGCCGGAAGCCCUGCUGCCCCGCUUCCUGGUUCGUGCGCAGCUUUCGUUCCCUUGCUGUCUCGACCCUUGUCUCGCACCUGCAGCUGCCGCAUUCUUCCUAGAAUCAGCGAUCCCAUCUCCUGUUUUCCUGAUGCUGCCCUGACCUUACUCGUAUCUCCACCGAGGACCGCGGACUUCAUUUCCGCCACUACCUCAAUACUUCCGGGACCUCCGGAAGCGGCCCGUUGCCAUGGCGACCGUGUACACAACCUGGCAGCUGCGCGCGCGGGUUUUCCUUCGCAGCAGUUGCAGUGGUGGUGCUGCGGCAGGACUGCUGCCUCUGGGGCGUAGUGACCGAGGAUGGACCCACAUGUGGAGACGCAGCGCCCCUCUGACUUCCAGCCAUGACCGUCACCACCCACCACCAUUUCUUGGGCACCUGCUCUGUGCUGGGGACUGCUGUGGACCUUGAGGGGGGAUUCACAUAAAAGGCACAGUCCUUUCCCCCAGCAGCCUGUCAUGUCAUUGGGGAGCCGAAACCUGCUCAGAUGAUGUGGCGUAAGAACAGUAACAAGCAUCUCAAUCAGUUUUGCCGACAAGGAUUUCAGGACUGAAAUUGGACAAGCCGUGACCUCUGCUCACCUGAGGGCCUUUCACAUUCGUUUUCUAACAAUUAA